rnacentral:sRNA from 1 species
AAAGAAGGAAGCACAGACACAGACAGACAGACAGAUAGAGACAGCAAAUGGAGUUGUAUUUCUAGACCCAAAUUUGAGUAGGCUGAGAGGGUGUGGCAGGUCCAGCCACGGUCUGCCUUACUGAAAACCAGCUAAGAACCCCUCAGUAACACUACUUCUUCAAUAUUAUCAAAAUGUAAACGAACCACUAUGCUAAAAAAAAAAAAAGAAUAGAAAGAAAUACAUACAGCUGGUUUCUAUCUGAACGCAGAACACUAUUUCUUAAAAGAAAAAAAAAUUAUGAACGAUUUCUUCAUCUCUCACAUUCAGUGAGUAUACAGUUGGCAUUUUCAAAAUGCAAACCUGAUGUGGUUUUGGAAUUCAUUGAAGCACAUUGGAAGACAUCUGAGUGGAGGGGAGGGGAGGGGGAGGGAUUCUAGCCAUAUGCUGCUGGUGCAUGGAUUUGAAUAUUUGAAAGGUAAUCUAGAAUAGAGAGUGCUUCCAGCUCUCCUUACCAACAACAGUCGUUCGUAGCAACCACACGUUUUAUAGAUCGAACCACUUCCCCAUGUGUGAGACAAUUACACGAGGAAGUCAGGGGCUGGCCUCCCAUGGCAGCCUGGCUAGUUCGAGUGUGAUUCUCGAUAGGAUACUGGACAUAGAACUCCGAGGUUCUCUUCAUCGCUGCUAAGGGAGGGACGAUGGCUCUGGCCACACUGGAUGUGUUCACAGAAAAGAGAUCUUUCUAAAACAAUACAUUUUCAAGCUUGGUGAACAUGGCUGAGAAGCUGCAGGGCCACUCACAAUGGCUGCCUCCAAACGGCGCAAGAACGCUGUGGAAUCAGUCAUCUCUCUAUCACGCCCAUCGGAUCUGCUGCUUCUUUCCGUGUAUCUGAACAGCCACAAAGGAAAUGAGCAGGGCCAAGCCCACGGCAGGGACUCUUCCCUGGCUCUGACACUUGUGUGCACCCAGAGAGGGAUGGGAGGAAGCCCCGUAACAGAGCAAGGAAGGUCCCCUGUCAGAGCUUAUCAGUGCUGCCCAUCUGUCCCCGGGCCAGGCCUCUAACUGGGUCAUUCCGUCAGAGACUGCACAAAAGAGUGUGGUCGUGUGCGCGGCUAAUCCAUUCCCGUGCUUGCACAGAGCACUGACUCACAGGAGAACAAACUCCAUCGUGUUACGCUGGCUCACUCACCAAGUCGCAUGUCCGAGACCCAAGCCACCGCCACCUCACCAACCGAUGUCCCCAACCCAUCAGCCUUAAGCGGCAUGGGCAGCGGCUGAUGCAACGGCCACUGCACUAGGUGACUUCAGAAAGUCACCCUCGAAGCACAGCGGUGAGGCUCUGAGGCACACUAGACCAUAAGCCAGCUCAUGUGGAAUUCCAGGGUGGUAACGUUAAGGGCUGCCGGGCAAGGGAAAGAACUAUUGAGCUGCCCCCUGGAUGGAAAGUGGCAAUGACGAAUGAGGACUGCCUUCUGUGACAGUCCUUAGCAAGCCAGGGAACACUGGAGAAAUUUGAGAACUUGACCACAUCUAGAAACCGAGGCCCAACGAUCACUCAAGAGUGAAGCGAACGCUUGACCAAAACGGUCUUUCUAUUGGAUUAUAAACCACACAUCACCUUGCCUUAACUUUAUUGUCGGGGGAAACUCUAAACACACUCUGAAAGAUAUGAACUCUAACUUCAUUUAGGUCAUGCUGCCAACACACACAUGUGAAGGUAUGUGUGUGGCUAGUUCAGAAACAGCAAGGAAAGACCAACAUUUUGCUGGUGUCUCUGUUCCAAGUAAUCCGUGCGUAGUGUAACAGCCACCCUUGGCUUUACUCUGACCCCUCCAUAAGCACAGCCACACACACACACACACACACACACACACACACACACACACACACACUACUCAUUCACAUUAACAUUCCAACGCAUACCUCCACGUCCCUCCCCCACACACGGCUGUGCUGUUCUAUAGUGACGUAAGCUCAGAGGUCACACAUUUAAGAAUAGCUUUUAAAAGCGUUUAGAUAAUGAACCUGAAGCAACCUAACUGUGAAAUAAGAAAAAUAUCAUAAUCCCAUUUUAUCAGUAAGCAGCGUAGUGAUUUGGAGACCCAAAUCCCUCAGGUGUUAAUAACAGUGGAGUCAGAAUUAGAACUGUAAGACUCCAGGGUCUGUACCGGGGCCACGGAGCUGUACGCUUCACCUGGGGAAGGGAAGGGAAGGAGACAAUGUCUUAUCCUAGCACAGACCAGUCAGUUCCACGGAAUACCUGUGCUUACUCUGAGAACUGACACUGUCAUAUGUUCUCAAAGGCAACCAGCCUUCCUGCUACUGGGCCCAUAAAAGAACUAUCAAAAGAUGACAAACAUUUAUUCAGGCGGAUGCCCAGGGAUGCAGUUCAAAACAUACACCCCGCUGGGGAGGGAGGGUUACUGUGGGGUAUGUGUACAGACAAGGCAGGACGAUUAUGGGCCAGACUUGGUGUACCUCCAGUACUCUGCGAGAGGGAAGUGAAUCUCUUCUCAGCACACUGAAGGAAGACAGCCUGGAAAUCCCACAGAGCCCAGAAUGUCAGCUUCUCAAUGCACCAUCCUGUCUGCGCAAUCUCAGGGACAGUCUGCUUUGAUGGACAGGUAAGAUGGUGUUGGAAGUCACUCCCUUAG